rnacentral:lncRNA from 1 species
AAAAUGCACAAUGUGAGUAGUGAUUCCUAAGCAUUUAAGGGGUGAUUUUCAAGUAAUAGAGUGAGCAGAAGACACCAUGUACAGGGACUCCAGAUGCCCCAGGCAGAGGUAAAAUGCUCGAAAGAGAGGAACAUCACUACCUGGCGGGCAGGUGGGGACAGGCUUGCCACGGAUGGUCUGGGGAUGGGAUAACUCUCUGGCUCCCACUCUGAGAAGCAGGAGGUGAUCUGGCCACAAGCCCUCAAGACGUGUUGAGUUUGGGAAUACCUCACUGCUAGGGAAUACCAGGAAUUAUGCAAUUCACUGUCUUCAUUUUAAAAUUCUGUAUGGGAGAAGCUAAAAAGUGAAGUUGGGGGGUUUUAGUAUAUUUCAUUUGCAUUGGUUUACUCUUCUCGUUCCUUGAUUAUCUGAGAGGAGGCUGCUGUUACGGAAAAGCGAAAACCAGGAGUGGUUUGAAUAUUCUUCCUUGAGACUUUUGACUGUUUCUAUAAGAAGUGGAUCUGCAUGUGCCUUUUGGAUAUUGUGUUCCUCAUGACAAUGCCUUUUGUUCAUAGAUAGUUCCCAGUUUCCAAAGACUUUCCCCAUUAUAACAUUUGUUCCAUCCUCAAAACCGUCAAAUGCAAAGGCCUCCAUUUUAUUAAAGGAGAAAGUACGACUCAAAGAAGUCAAGUGACUCACCCGAGGUCACACAGCUAAAUUCUAGCAGAGCAAGGGACCAAGAUAGUGAAUUCUAAAUGCAGAGACCUUCUUAUUGUUCCAAUUUUCUGUCCGACAAUGCCCACCUCCUGGAGUGAGCAAGUCUUGCUGGAGACACAACAGCAGCUACAAGUGGUCCUCCCGACUAUUCCAGAAAUCCUUUUUCCACAGUGAAAAACUGAAUUUGCCUGCCCCAGUUUCCCAGCCGCCUCAUGACUCGAUGAGCAAUUGCUUUAACUCUGACAAAAUUAGGCCACCUCCAACCUAAAUGUAACCCGUUUUCAGAGUGAGACCCUGCAUGGAGGCAGCUCUUUUCCUGAAAGGAUAACAAAAGCAUGCUUUUGUGUGUAUUUCACUUGAUGGAAAGAAAUCCCCAGUGAGGCCGUUUUUUCCCCCUGAAUUCUCCCAAGUCCAGAAUGUAUCCAAGUUUCCAAUAUUACCUCAGAAGAGCCAUUCAUCUAUGAAGAUGGCCGAAUUGUCUUCCAGCUCGGUAGACAGUGUGUCUGCGAGAGAGAAGGUGCUGCUAUUUUGGGUGUUUUGUACUUGUGGAGCAGAAAGAAUGCUGAAUCAGGAAGGCAGGUGAUUCAAGACUAAGCUCGGCCUUGAAGGGGUCACCACUAGAUAUUUUCCCUUAUGAUCUCUGCA